GUAGGUGGGCAGGCGUUGUCCGGAAUUAUUGGGCGUAAAGCGCGCGCAGGGCGGUCCUUUAAGUCUGAUGUGAAAGCCCACGGCUCAACCGUGGAGGGUCAUUGGAAACUGGGGGACUUGAGUACAGAAGAGGAAAGCGGAAUUCCAAGUGUAGCGGUGAAAUGCGUAGAGAUUUGGAGGAACACCAGUGGCGAAGGCGGCUUUCUGGUCUGUAACUGACGCUGAGGCGCGAAAGCGUGGGGAGCAAACAGGAUUAGAUACCCUGGUAGUCCACGCCGUAAACGAUGAGUGCUAAGUGUUAGGGGGUUUCCGCCCCUUAGUGCUGCAGCUAACGCAUUAAGCACUCCGCCUGGGGAGUACGGCCGCAAGGCUG
rnacentral:rRNA from 1 species